rnacentral:rRNA from 1 species
GUAGGGAAUCUUCCGCAAUGGACGCAAGUCUGACGGAGCAACGCCGCGUGAGUGAUGAAGGUUUUCGGAUCGUAAAGCUCUGUUGCCCUAGACGAACAGCAAGGCGAGUAACUGCGCUUUGUGUGACGGUAUAGGAGAAGAAAGCCCCGGCUAACUACGUGCCAGCAGCCGCGGUAAUACGUAGGGGGCAAGCGUUGUCCGGAAUUAUUGGGCGUAAAGCGCGCGCAGGCGGUUAAUUAAGUUGGGUGUUUAAGCCCGGGGCUCAACCCCGGUUCGCAUCCAAAACUGGUUGACUUGAGUGUAGGAGAGGAAAGUGGAAUUCCACGUGUAGCGGUGAAAUGCGUAGAGAUGUGGAGGAACACCAGUGGCGAAGGCGACUUUCUGGCCUAUAACUGACGCUGAGGCGCGAAAGCGUGGGGAGCAAACAGGAUUAGAUACCCUAGUAGUCC